AGACCCGAAACCCGGUGAUCUAGCCAUGGGCAGGUUGAAGGUUGGGUAACACUAACUGGAGGACCGAACCGACUAAUGUUGAAAAAUUAGCGGAUGACCUGUGGCUGGGGGUGAAAGGCCAAUCAAACCGGGAGAUAGCUGGUUCUCCCCGAAAGCUAUUUAGGUAGCGCCUCGUGAAUUCAUCUCCGGGGGUAGAGCACUGUUUCGGCUAGGGGGCCAUCCCGGCUUACCAACCCGAUGCAAACUGCGAAUACCGGAGAAUGUUAUCACGGGAGACACACGGCGGGUGCUAACGUCCGUCGUGAAGAGGGAAACAACCCAGACCGCCAGCUAAGGUCCCAAAGUCAUGGUUAAGUGGGAAACGAUGUGGGAAGGCCCAGACAGCCAGGAUGUUGGCUUAGAAGCAGCCAUCAUUUAAAGAAAGCGUAAUAGCUCACUGGUCGAGUCGGCCUGCGCGGAAGAUGUAACGGGGCUAAACCAUGCACCGAAGCUGCGGCAGCGAACGUAUCACCCAAGACAACUUUACGGAGUUGACGAUUGACGGAGCGAAGCGACGUCAAAGCGUUCAUUAAAGUCGAGUUGGCUUAGGGAUACGUUCGUUGGGUAGGGGAGCGUUCUGUAAGCCUGUGAAGGUGUGUCGUGAGGCAUGCUGGAGGUAUCAGAAGUGCGAAUGCUGACAUAAGUAACGAUAAAGCGGGUGAAAAGCCCGCUCGCCGGAAGACCAAGGGUUCCUGUCCAACGUUAAUCGGGGCAGGGUGAGUCGACCCCUAAGGCGAGGCCGAAAGGCGUAGUCGAUGGGAAACGGGUUAAUAUUCCCGUACUUGGUGUUACUGCGAAGGGGGGACGGAGAAGGCUAUGUUGGCCGGGCGACGGUUGUCCCGGUUUAAGCGUGUAGGUGUGUGUUCCAGGUAAAUCCGGUUCACUUUAACACUGAGGCGUGACGACGAGGCACUACGGUGCUGAAGCAACAAAUGCCCUGCUUCCAGGAAAAGCCUCUAAGCAUCAGGUAACACGAAAUCGUACCCCAAACCGACACAGGUGGUCAGGUAGAGAAUACCAAGGCGCUUGAGAGAACUCGGGUGAAGGAACUAGGCAAAAUGGUGCCGUAACUUCGGGAGAAGGCACGCUGACACGUAGGUGAAGUGAUUUACUCAUGGAGCUGAAGUCAGUCGAAGAUACCAGCUGGCUGCAACU
rnacentral:rRNA from 1 species